rnacentral:rRNA from 1 species
GACGAACGCUGGCGGCGGGCUUAACACAUGCAAGUCGAACGGAAAGGCCCUGCUUUUGUGGGGUGCUCGAGUGGCGAACGGGUGAGUAACACGUGAGUAACCUGCCCUUGACUUUGGGAUAACUUCAGGAAACUGGGGCUAAUACCGGAUAGGAGCUCCUGCUGCAUUGUAGGGGUUGGAAAGUUUCGGCGGUUGGGGAUGGACUCGCGGCUUAUCAGCUUGUUGGUUGGGUAGUGGCUUACCAAGGCUUUGACGGUUAGCCGGCCUGAGAGGGUGACCGGCCACAUUGGGACUGAGAUACGGCCCAGACUCCUACGGGAGGCAGCAGGGGGGAAUAUUGCACAAUGGGCGGAAGCCUGAUGCAGCAACGCCGCGUGCGGGAUGACGGCCUUCGGGUUGUAAACCGCUUUAGCCUGUGACGAAGCGUGAGUGACGGUAAUGGGUAAAGAAGCACCGGCUAACUACGUG